CCUCAAUGUCAUUUAUUCAUGGUGAUGGUCAUUUUUGGUUUGCACUAUACUGGUGCUAAAAAACAGCACCCAGUUAUAGCUAGGAUUUUUAACAAGCAUGUGAACAUGAAAGCAAAAGCUUUAUUAAAGUACUAAGUAUUAAUUAGCAAAAAGACAGAUAUCUUACUUUCCUUCUGACUGACAACUACUUCCAUAUGGAGAUAAAUAAGCCUGCUCUGAAUGGAAAAAAAAUACUGCAGAACAGCAAAUAACCCAGGCAUUUUUUAAUACAUCUUAGAUACACUUGACAUAUUAUAGAUUAUACUGAGUUUACAUAUCGAAGUCAUCAUUCAUGACUAAUAAAAUUAAUAAGACUAAUAUAUGAGCAUGUAGAUGCAAAGCUAAGCAAAUAAAUCUGCAGCAUUCUCAGUAGUCCCAACAAGUAUCUAUUUUAUUAAUGAAUUUUAGCUUAUUGACUUGAAAAAGUUUUUCCUUCACAGUAGAAAAUCGUGUGAAGACUUCUACAGUUUCCAGGUUUUACCUGUGGAAUCUCAAAAAAAAGCUGGUAAUCAAAAAUCUUAAUUAAACCACAGCACCGGUUCAAAUUAUUUUUGCUAAAUACUGGGCCACUGAAAUCUCACCAGGCCAUUCUCAUAUUCCUACACCCCAGUGUUCAUGUUCAUACAUGUCCCUUUUUAUUGCUGUACUUUUUCUCUGCAAUGAUAUUUGAAAAAGAAGAGACAUGCAAGAGGAAAAUGAUUGUUUCUGUGCAUAAAAUCUAUAAUAUUCUUCUCCCCAGCAGUAUUGCCUGCAAUAUAAGGCUGAAGAGUUUUAAGAACAAUACUAAGUAAGGACUUUUUGUCCUUAAUAGUGCAAUGCCUUGCAACAGAAAGCUGAGGCAGGUUUCUGCUGACUUAGCAUAUGCCUCACAAGAAAGAAAUCUAUCUGGCAAUUAUGGUUUUGCGUCUCCUGCCCUGUCUUCUGUUGUUUGUAUAAGACAGCGGUACUUCUGCCACAGGCUUCAUACAGCUGUCCUGUCAAUGCCAGUUUUCAUAGGUAAUCCAUCUAGCUCAGCAGAGUUCAAAUAAGACACCUCCCUGUCUUUAAUUAAUGCUUUAUUUAAGUCUCCCCUGGGGAUGUAGCCAUGCUGAUUUUUCAAAAUUCUCUGUUAUUUUUCAAGCACAAAAGAAAAGUCUACAUCUGAGUUUCUAGACUGGGAAAAUCUACUUCACUCAGUCUUCUAGUCUCAAGUCAAUGUUUUAAAUCCUCACAGACAUCUCUUUAGCUACUGAAAGUGUUAUGCAUUUAGUUCUCCAGAUUGGGAAGGAGGAAAAAAAAAAAAAGAUAAAUUCAGUCAAAUUCAUUCUCUCUGCAAUCUCUUCUCAUGUUCUGCAUCCACAUUUACCAUAGUCAUAGCCAGUUUAUGCCCUGAUUUAUGCUAUCAUAGACCAUUAAACCCCACAUAUCACUCAGACCCCUUCAGGUAAUGAGCAGUCUCAGCUCAAGUCACAAACCAUUUCUUGCUGUGUAGCUGCUUGUCUUGAGCCUGUGGCUUUGCUGAUCAGGAUCUGAAUGCUGUGGCCUGGUACAACUGAGCUUAUACAGUCCUCAGCGUGAGGUCACUGUGGAUGCAAAACCACAUCGGACAGUCUUAUGAUGUUUUCAAGACUUUUUUUUAAAUAUAUGUGUGACAGUGCUGUUAAUCAGACCUGAUGUACAUGAGCAAACUAGUAAAAUACAUCAAAUGACAGAUAAGCAAGACAGGCUAAAACCAAAGGCUGCAGCAAAGCAUGUUUGAAUCAGCAAGUCAAGAACUGGUACACCCUCAAUCAACACUGUCUGAUAAUAUUUUACUUGCUUUGGGUUUUCGUGUUUUAAUGAGCAAAGAAGUGUUUUGUAAUCCUCAUUAUAUAAAUGCAUAGCACCACUUUGUGCUUCUGUAGCUUCUUCCCCAAAUUAUACUGCGUGCAUUAAGCAAGACUUGUGGCAUCCUUCAGAGGGUGUGAGAGUUUCAGUGAAUUGUUUAUAUAUAGGGGGUAGCCAUAGAGGCUUGUUCCAUGCAGAGAUUAAGAGCAUUAGGAACAGAAAUUUUCAUUCACAGUUUUCAGUCAAACAUACUACAAAGAUACAAUUUUCAUUUUUCACAAGCCAUGCAAGUUAGCUCCUACCAAGUUUAUUCUACCUCUCUAACUGAAGUGGGGCACACCAAAAUGAGUGUCCACCAAUUCCCCUGGAACAAUGAAAGGCGUGUUGUAGGCUUGAUAUCCUGACGUCAGCACAAGUCUGCACACAGACCAACCCUUAAUUUUGCUAAAGGCUUCAGUUGAAAUUGUAUGACAGUUCUUUGGCAGAGCUGAAAAGUGAAGCCCAGAUGGUGGCGUCCCAGGUGACACCCUCUGAUCUCUAGAUAAUCAUCCUUUUGCUUCCUGAUUGCAUUUUUUUUCUGUCAUGACUACAGUGUCAUACUUCCAGCCUUGCUCUGCUGAGUCCAUUUCAAUCCUCAAAGAGCCAACAGUCAGAAAGACAAAGGUCAUGCAGAUGGACCAGAAGCUAGAUGACAUCCUGACCGCGCUCCAGGCUCAGUUUGGGGAUCAGCCACAGGCACAGAUGUCAGGGCAGCCGCUCCACCUGUCAGACAGCUACAGACAGCCUCAGAUUCCUCCCCACUGAACCGGAAAAUUUAAGAGCCGGAGGACAGCCACAUGCCACCCCCUCAUUCUUUUACAUCUGGUUAUUUUUAAGUCUUGGUGUCUCAGGAUUCAGCUGUGUUGUUGAUGAAAUGGAAUAUGCUUCUGUGAUAGAUUAAAUGAAAGAGAAGCAGCAGCAAAAAGCCAGCCAUGCCCCUAGGAGGGCGCAUAAGUUUUGCACCUGUUUUAUUAGCCACUGUUAGCUAACCUAUGUCAGCCUGUGGCAGACCUUCUCAGCCAACCCCAUUUAGGCUGAGGGCGCACACAUAGACCACUCUGGUAAGGUAAGCACCCAAGCAAGGGUCAGGAUGACCCAUUCAUGGACAAAGGGGAAAAAGGACCAUGUUUUUGGCAUUUAAGCACUAAAUUUAAUUCUCACAGCAUGCCCAAAAGGGGAAAGGAGCCAGCAUUUGAACAUGAAAUAAAUGGAAAUCAGUGAACAGGAAACUUAAACAGCAUGUUUUGACUUCCACCAAGCAGUGAGGAUCAUAAGAAGGGCAGAUUUAUACAUUAGUGUGAAUGACAAUGUAAAGACAACAGGCUACUGAGUAAAAUAUGGAAGUGUACACCGGCUGGUUGACAUAUGAAAGAAGCAAAGACUUCAGCUAAUUAAAGCAAAGGUUUGCAAAUGAGAUGAGAUGCAUGUUGGAACAGACAGGCAGGAGAGAUAGUAUCUGCGUAGGCUUACUGCACAAGAACGCUCCAAUAGCUAUCAGCUAC
ensembl:lncRNA